GCUCUCCUGGCGGCGUGGCCGUGGCUCCCGCUGGCCGAGCCUCCGAGCCCUGUUGCCCCGGCAGGCCCGGCAGCGGAGACCGCACUUGGGAGGCGUCGCAGAGGUGUGUUGGCAGGGCUGCUCGCGCGGCCCAGGUUUCACCCGGGGCUCGCCUCCUUUGCUGCUUCUAGAUCAUCAAUGGGCUGCGAAGGUUUGACGUCGAGUACCAGGGUGACUCAGAGCUGCAGCCCAUCCGGAGCUAUGAGAUCGCCAGCCUGGUCCGCGUGCUCUUCCGGCUGUCCUCCGCCAUCAACCGCAGGUUUGCAGGCCCGAUGGCAGCCCUGUGUUCCCGUGCCGACUUCCUCGGCAGCUUUUGUCGAUACCACCUCACGGAGCCUGGGCUGGCGGACAGGCACCUGCUGAGCCCGGUGGCACGAGGGUGUGCGGCCCGCCGUCCCCGGGGCCCUCGGCUCAGCCUGCGCUUCCUGGGCAGCUACCGGACGCUGCUCUCGCUGCUUCUGGCCUUCUUCGUGGCCUCCCUGUUCUGUAUUGGGCCCCUCCCUUGCGCCCUGCUCCUCGUGCUGGGCUACCUCCUCUACGCUGUGGCCAUGACGCUGCUCACCGAGCGCAGCAAGCUGCACCAUCUCUGACCUCAGGCCGGGUGCCGAUGCAGGGCCGCCAGCCAGAGGGCCACACAGCCUCUCCCUCGAGCCUGAGAGGCCACCUCCGAGCUAGGGGGCCACUUUCCUGCAGCCACGGAGCCAUGCGACGCGUAAGAGGAGAUGAAACCGGAAGGGUGUGGUCCAGACUUGGCAAGGAAGGGAGUGACAUCAAAGGGCCUGUUAGUGUCACAGGACGGGGCCGGACCCAGCCACUCGGUCCUCCCUGCUUCCCUCAGCCACAGGCCCUGCAGUGAAAUGGACCUCCGGGCCUCUCUCCAACCUGACGCCCCAGGGUCUAGCUGUGUGAGGCCUGGGAGGCAGUGCUGCCCAGGAGGGGCCUCGCCAUCCUUAAGGUUGGCAGGGUGGUGUGCCUUUCCUCUCCCUGCCGACAGCGGGACGGUCCCUCAGUGUCUGGUUCCAGGGAAGAUUCCAAAACCCUAGAGGUUCCUGAGAAAGUUAGAGGAUGGUUCUCUGAUUCCUAACUCUAAACCUAGAUUUUGCCAUCGCAUCUGGCAAAGUGAGGGUCAUUCUUCACGCAUUGCCAGCAAUUCUGGGGCUGGGCCCUACAGCUCCACUUUCUAGAAGAAAAGAUCCUCCAGGAGCACAGAUGCUCAGUGGGACAGUGCUUCACCUCCGGCUCCCUCCUGGCCCCCAAGCCAUUAAGCACGUUGCUUGGUGGCAGCCCAGCGUCACUGCCUCAUCCGGGACAGGCUCGCCUGUCCCAUGGGCAGAGGGGAUGUGGCUGGGCCAUGGGAGUUGGGCAUCGUCUGGUGCUGCAACCAAAGAUGGUCAAAGGCAUUGUUUGUACCUUCGGUAGAAUCGAGUGCAAAGACACUAACUUUUUGAUGACACGUGAAUGUUCAUACUACACAACAAUUUCAUGUUCUCUGUCGAAAGUCAUCCCCACAGGGUCUCAAGCACAUGCAUUCAUCUUACAGGGGACGCACCAGAGAGAACAUCUCAACGACGAUUUGAAACCAAACCUUUGUUUUGGGUGUUUUGGGUUUUUUUUAAGUUUCCAAACUAAAUGUUGAGCUUUGUGUUUUGAUGUGAACUCAGAAUAAUGGCAUUCUGGGGCCUGUGACCAAAAAACAAACCAAGUUUGUAACUGACCACAGAUCUGAAUAAAGCUGUUUUUGCUCCCGA